rnacentral:rRNA from 1 species
AAUAGAUACCCCGGUAGUCCACGCUGUAAACGAUGGAUACUAGGUGUGGGGGACUGACCCCUUCCGUGCCGCAGUUAACACAAUAAGUAUCCCACCUGGGGAGUACGAUCGCAAGGUUGAAACUCAAAGGAAUUGACGGGGGCCCGCACAAGCGGUGGAGUAUGUGGUUUAAUUCGAAGCAACGCGAAGAACCUUACCAGGGCUUGACAUGGAGACGACCGCUGCAGAGAUGCAGCUUCCCUUCGGGGCGUCUCACACAGGUGGUGCAUGGUUGUCGUCAGCUCGUGUCGUGAGAUGUUGGGUUAAGUCCCGCAACGAGCGCAACCCCUAUUGUUAGUUGCUACGCAAGAGCACUCUAGCGAGACUGCCGUUGACAAAACGGAGGAAGGUGGGGACGACGUCAAAUCAUCAUGCCCCUUAUGUCCUGGGCUACACACGUACUACAAUGGCGGUAAACAGAGGGAAGCAAGACCGCGAGGUGGAGCAAAUCCCUAAAAGCCGUCCCAGUUCGGAUUGCAGGCUGAAACCCGCCUGUAUGAAGUU